ACAGAAACAUAGCAUGCUCUACCUAUUAUUUAUUUAUUUUUUUCUUCCUUGCUUUCUGUCUUUCAGGGAACUCUAUGUCUCCAACAGUAUCAGAGCUCCUCCUUAAAGCUAAGGAGAGAGAGGGUGUCCUGAUAAGGAAGAACAAGAAGCUGAAAAAGGAAUGGGACUCUCUUCGCAAACAAGGGGCUGACAAGAUAUGCCAUACCACAACUUCUGACCACACCACUUCAUCUGAGUCAUCAUCUGAGUCCUCUUCCACCAGUAAUUCAUCUUCCUCUUCUUCCUUCAAUUCAUUCAUUGUCAUCAGACGAUGAAAGUCAUAAGGCGUUACAAAAAAAAGCAUACAAGGAAAGACAAAAGGCAUCGGAAGGAAAAGAAGUCAGCAAAAGCAAGGCAUCGCAAAAAGCACAAGAAGGAACAGAAGUCCGCAAAACCUGAAUGUGGACAAAGAGCUUCCAGUCCAAAAGACAUCGUUGCAAGGUACAAGAAGGUUCUGCGGGCUUACAACC